UGCUUGCACUUUGGCAGACUGAGUGGCGGACGGGUGAGUAACGCGUGGGUAACCUGCCUUAUACAGGGGGAUAACAGUUGGAAACGGCUGCUAAUACCGCAUAAGCGCACAGCUUCGCAUGAAGCAGUGUGAAAAACUCCGGUGGUACAAGAUGGACCCGCGUCUGAUUAGCUGGUUGGUGAGGUAACGGCCCACCAAGGCGACGAUCAGUAGCCGGUCUGAGAGGAUGAACGGCCACAUUGGGACUGAGACACGGCCCAGACUCC
rnacentral:rRNA from 1 species